rnacentral:rRNA from 1 species
AUGGCUCAGGAUGAACGCUAGCUACAGGCUUAACACAUGCAAGUCGAGGGGCAGCGCAGUGUAGCAAUACAUGGGCGGCGACCGGCGCACGGGUGCGUAACGCGUAUCCAACCUUCCCGUUACUCAGGGAUAGCCUUCCGAAAGGGAGAUUAAUACCUGAUGGUGUUCAAAUUCCGCAUGUUAUUUGAACUAAAGAUUUAUCGGUAACGGAUGGGGGAUGCGUGACAUUAGAUAGUAGGCGGGGUAACGGCCCACCUAGUCUACGAUGUCUAGGGGUUCUGAGAGGAAGGUCCCCCACACUGGAACUGAGACACGGUCCAGACUCCUACGGGAGGCAGCAGUGAGGAAUAUUGGUCAAUGGUCGGAAGACUGAACCAGCCAAGUAGCGUGAAGGAUGAAGGUUCUAUGGAUUGUAAACUUCUUUUAUACGGGAAUAAAACCACCUACGUGUAGGUGCUUGUAUGUACCGUAUGAAUAAGCAUCGGCUAACUCCGUG